GAAUUGGGACAAAACUAAAGGAAAAUUUACAACUAAAACAGCACACAACUUACAAAAAGUUAAAUUGUCAUAUAUGUCAGCGAAAUCAAAAACAAUAAAAUUAGAUUUUUGUAUGGAAGAUGCUGUUAAAAAAGAACAAUGGCUCAAAAAAUAUUUGAUGAAAAGGAAAGAGUUUAUGAAAUUAAUGGCAAAAGGUGGAGAUUUGCACUACACCAAAUUUUUAUCGGUGGUUUCAAGAACUUGGGAAUGCAGGAAGUAUCGAUCAUCAUGCAGCAGAUUCAAGAAAUGCAUUUAUCAGAACAACAAAGGAAAAAGAAAUAAAUAAGCAAGAAGACUUCAAAACAUUGCAUUUAAUGUUAUAAUUUGAAUAACUUUGCGGCGAUCGUUGCUAAUAUGGCGGCGUGAAGAAUCGGAGACAAUGCAGCUUCAAGAUGCUAUUUUAUAGAAACGCUGAUUACUUUUUUGAUUUUAUACGUACUACUUUUUCAAUACAAUGCCAUUGCAGUAUUGUACACUAUUUGAAAAUUUAUAAUCGUAUAUGACCGCUCUUUAACUUGCUUCAAAGAACAGCGUACUCGCGGGAAUGCCGAAGUCGAAGGAGGUCGUAGUUUCUACACCUCGUGGCUCAAAAAAAACAGGUUAAAAUGCGAAUUUAUACUCGAGAAUGUGAAGUGGGUCACUUUUCUAUCCAUGUGCGUGCUUUAAAAUUAUUUGAAACAAAAUAUGAUGCAUGAUGGGAAGUAGAGCCUUCUUAAGAAGUUGUUGAAUAGCGCAAAUCUAUAGCGAAGGAAUAGAAAUUUCCUGGUGUAUUGUAAUCAGUAUUGUAGAAUGCAUGAUGGGAAAUAUAACGUUUUUGUAAAGUUGUUGAACAGUGCAAAUCUGUAUUUAAAGGAUUGAAAUUCCCUGAAACAACAAAUUAACUGAAGGUAGCUAAUCAUUUGUAAAAUCAGGUUUACAAUGUUCAGGGUGUCCAAAAAGUUCCGCCCGAUUUCAUAGCAUUACCAAUUGCAUUUUUGAAUAAAUUUUGUUGUAUGACUAUGAUAAAUGGGGACUACAACAUUCAACAUCUAUAACAUCCAAUUAGAAACAGGUCGACUAUAAAUAUUUUUUAAAAUU